UGUUUCAGCAAAUAAUUGAAACGACAUCGUUUAUGUGACCCUAUACGGACGACUUGUCGUCGACAUAGGGGUUUACCCUAAAGAAUGAUGCAGCGUUCGUUCAUUUGCACAACGACACAGAUGUUUCUAUCCCUCUGACGAAAAAACGAUUCCAGCCCUCUUAGCCAACGAUUAGCCCCAGAUGUUUUCACCGGUGGUGAAGCACCACCAUCCAUUCUGCCGCCAGAAGCUUCCCACCGCGAGUUGUUCACCGACGCCCAUCGUUCCAGCCACUCACCAUCGAUCUUCACAAGAGGAGUCCCCAUCACAGCAAGAAGAACUACAAGAAAAACAACCACAGGUUGUUUUUUUUUAUUGAAAUUGAAAUUGAAAUUAUAUAUAUGCAUAAGUUUUCAUAAAAUUGAAAUUGAAAUUGAAAUUGUUCCUCUUUUGGUUAUAGACUUAUGUUGUUUGGUUGGUAUAUGUAUGAUUGUG